rnacentral:rRNA from 1 species
UUAGAGUUUGAUCAUGGCUCAGAUUGAACGCCGGCGGCAUGCUUACACAUGCAAGUCGAACGGUAGAGGGGGCAACCCCUUGAGAGUGGCGAACGGGUGAGUAAUAUAUCGGAACGUGCCCAGUCGUGGGGGAUAACGUAGAGAAAUUUACGCUAAUACCGCAUACGAUCCAAGGAUGAAAGCGGGGGACUCUGCAAAGAGCCUCGCGCGACUGGAGCGGCUGAUAUCAGAUUAGCUUGUUGGUGAGGUAAAAGCUCACCAAGGCGACGAUCUGUAGCUGGUUUGAGAGAACGACCAGCCACACUGGGACUGAGACACGGCCCAGACUCCUACGGGAGGCAGCAGUGGGGAAUUUUGGACAAUGGGCGCAAGCCUGAUCCAGCAAUGCUGCGUGCAGGAAGAAGGCCUUCGGGUUGUAAACUGCUUUUGUACGGAACGAAAAAGCUCUUUUAAAAGAGGCC